rnacentral:tRNA from 16 species
GGGCGCUUAGCUCAGCGGGCAGAGCGCUUGGUUUACACCCAAGAGGUCAGCGGUUCAAACCCGUUAGCGCCCA